rnacentral:lncRNA from 1 species
ACAAGUUCAAGGCCAGCCUGGGCUACAUAGUUCAAGUCCCAAAACAAAGACUAGCAGCUGUCUUCCUUGGGCCAACUUUUAUCUGAUAUGUAUACCAAAAAUGUAAGCCAGAGGAAAUGAUGCAGGUGUCAAGCUGGCUGAACUCAGAUGAUUAGGAGCUCAGGUGCUGGGGAUGACGAUGAGGAGAAUUUGCAUCUUCCAGAAGAAAAGAUGGAGCACUGGGGCCCAGCAUGAGGAGGCCUUCAGUGAAGAAAGCAGAAGAAAGGUACCUCAUCAGCAGUGUGUGCAAACCUCGGGCUCUUAUGAUUGUCUCAGUUUGAAAAAACCUCCUCCUAAUAUACAACCAUCUGAGCUGGCUGUGGUGAUGCACGCCUGUAAUCCUAGCACUCUGGGAGGCUGAGACAGGAAGAGGACAAGUUUGAGCCUGGUCUGGGCAACUCAUUGAGACGCUAUCCCAAAAUAAAAAUAAAAAGGGCUGAGGAGGUAGCUAGCUCAUCUUUGCGCUAAACUAGUAUGGCCAGAGAUCUUAACAGAGACACACUUAAUCAUUCAUUCAACGAACACCGACCAGGUACUGUGUCACUGGGACACAAUACCUGUCACUCACAAGUUAAAGAAGGAAAGGUUUAUUUUAGUUCAAUUUGUAGAGGUUUCAGUCCAUAGUCGGCUGGCCCCAAGGCAGGGUGGCACACUGCAGAGGGGCAUCGCAGAGGAGAGCAGGCAAGAAGCAGGGAAAAGGCCAGGGAGGAGGAGGGAGACAGACCCUGCCAGGCCACGCCCCCAGUGACACCUCCUCCCAUCAGGCCAUACCUCUCCACAUCACAUUCAGCCGUAAACCCGUCACCGACUGAUCCACUGAUCCAGUCCCCC